rnacentral:rRNA from 1 species
UACGAGGGGGGCGAGCGUUGUUCGGAAUUAUUGGGCGUAAAGGGUGCGUAGGCGGUUUGGUAAGUCUUGUGUGAAAUCUACAGGCUCAACUUGUAGUCUGCACGAGAAACUGCCGGGCUUGAGUGUGGGAGAGGUGAGUGGAAUUCCUGGUGUAGCGGUGAAAUGCGCAGAUAUCAGGAGGAACACCGGUGGCGAAGGCGGGUCUCUGGGCCGAUACUGACGCUGAGGAGCGAAAGCGUGGGGAGCGAACAGG